UUUGAAACUAAAAGUCUUAAAAAUUAUAUCAGAUAAUGAUAUUAGAAUCAUGUACCUCAUAACAACAUUUUGGUCAAUGAGGAAUCACAUAGUUGAUGGUGGUCCCAUAAGCAUGUAAUCAGCUAAAAAAAUGCCUAUCGCCAGUAUUUACUAUACUAUAAUUAUUAUCAUUAUUUUACAGUGUACUAUUUUUACUUAAAUGUUAAAAUGUUAACUGUAAAACAACCUCAGGCAGGUCCUUCAGAUAUUUCAGAAGGCAUUGUUAUCAUAGGGGUUGAUAGCUCCAUUCCUGUUAUUGCCCCUGAAGAACUUGUAGUGGGACAAGAUAUGGUGGUAGAAGAUGGUGAUAUUGAUGAUACUUGACCCUGUGUAGGCCUAGGCUAAUGUGUGUGUUUGUGUCUUAGUUUUCAGCAAGCUUGUGUGUUGAUGUCUUAGUUUAUAACAAACUUUAAAAAGUGAAAAAUAAGUAAAUAAAAUUUUAAAUAGAAAAGAGCUUAUAGAAUAAGGAAAUACAAAAGGCAAUAUUUAGUAAACCUGUAUAGCAUGUUUGUAUUUUUACCUAAGUCCUAUUACAAAAGUCAGUAGUUUUUAACAAAUUAAAAAUUUAUGAAGUAAAAAGUUAGGGUAAGUUAAGGUUAAUUCAUGAUUAAAGAAAGAAAUGUUCUAAUAAAUUUAGGAUAGCCUAAGUGUGCCAUGUUUGUAAAAUCUAGAGUAUCCUAGGACUUCAUAUUCACUCACCACUCACUCACUGUAUCAUCCAGAGCAACUUCCAGCCUUCCAAGCUCCAUUCCUGGUAAAUCCCCUGUAAAGGCAUACCAAUUUUAUUUUUGAUAUCACAUAUUUACUGUACCUUUUUUAUGUUUAAAUAUGUUUAGAUUCACAAAUACCAUUGUUUUACAAAUGCCUACACUAUUGUGUACAGCAACAUGCUAUACUGAUUUGUAGCCUAGGAGCAAUAGGCUAUACCACAUAGCCUAGUUGUGUAAUAGGUUAUAUCAUCUAGUAUUGUGUUAAGUACACUCUGAGAUGCUAGCACAAUGACAAAAUUGCUUAAUGGUGCAUUUCUCAGCAUGCAUCACAAUUGUUAAAUGACAUGUAACUGUAAUUUGGAAGUUGUAUCCAUAUUCAUUUCAGACUGCUUAGAAUUUUUAAACAAAAGCAUGAAUAGGAAUAAAUUUUUAAAGUAACAAGAUAAAAAUCUUAAUUAACCAAAGUGAUAAACCUCUUGAGAGGUACUUAUUUUAUAGCCUUACAUUUAUAAAGCCAAAAGUUACAUAAUUACAGGAAAUUUCAAAGUUAGAUCUGAGCUAACAGAGUCUGGUUCAUGAGGUUUAACAAAAGAAGCCAACUCCAUAACAUAAAAGUGCAAGGUGAAGCAACAAGUGCUAACAUAGAAGCUGUAACAAGUUAUCCAGAAGCUCUAGCAAAGAUAAUUGAUUAAAGUGGCUACACUAAACAGCACACUUUAAUGCAGAUGAAAUAGCAUUAUAUUGGAAACCUUUGCCAUCUAAGAUUUUCAUAGCUAAAGAGGAGAAGUCAAUGCCUGGAUUCAAGGCUUCAAAGAAGAGUCUGACUCUCUCAUGUCAGGGGCCAAUGGAGCUGAAGACUUUAGGCUUAAGUCAAUGCUCACUCACCAUUCUGAAAAUCCUUGGGCCCUAAAGAAUCAUGUGAAAUCUACUCUGUUUGUGCUCCAUAAAUGGAACCACAAAGCCUGGAUGACAGAACAUCUGUUCACAGCAAGUUUUACUGAAUAAUGUAAACCCACUGUUGAGACUUACUGCUCAGAAGAAAAAAAAAAAGAUUAUUAUCAAAAUAUUACUGCUCAUUGACAAUUCUCCUAGACACGUAAGAGCUCCAACAGAGAUGUACUGUACACCUAAGAGCUCUACUGUACAAGGAGAUUGAUGCUGUUUUCAUGCCUGCUAACACAACAUUCAUUCAGUAGCACGUGAUUAAGGAGUAUAUUCAAUACAACUUCAAGUUUUAUUAUUUAAGAUGUACAUUUCAUAAGGCUAUAGCUAUUAUAAAUACUAUAUUCCUCUGAUGGACCUGGGAAAAGUACAUUUAAAAUCUUCUGGAAAGGGUUUAGUAUUCUAGAUGUUACUAAACAUUUGUGAUUCAUGGGAGGUGGUCAAAAUAUCAACCUUAACAGGAGUUAGGAAGAAGUUGAUUAUCACUCUCAUGGGUGACUACGAGGGCCUCAAGCCUUCAGGAGAGACAGUAAUUGCAGAGGUGAUAAAAAUAGCAAGAGAACUCAAAUUAGAAGUAGAGCCUGAAGAUGUUACUGACUGGCUGCACUCUCAUGAUGAAAUUUUAACAGAUGAGGAGUUCCUUUUAUAGAUGAACAAAUAAAGUGGUCACUUGAGUGGAAUCUACUCCUGGUAAAGAUGUUGUGAACAUUGCUGAAAUGACAACAAAAGAUUUAGAGUAUUCCAUAAACAUAAUUGAUAAACAGCUGCUGGGUUAGAGAGGACUGAUUCUAAUUUUGAAAGAAGUUCUACUCUGAGUAAAAUGCUAUCGAACAGCAUCACAUGCCACAAAAGAAAAAUUGUUUUGUAAGAGGAAAAGUCAGUUGAUAUAGCAAACUUGAUUGCUGUCUUAUUCUUAAGAAACUUCCCUAGCCACCUCAGUGAUCAGUAGCCAUCAAUGUGUAAGCAACUCUCCAACAGCAAGAAGAUUAUGGCUCACUAAAGGCUGAGAUGAUUAUUAGUAAUUUUAAUUAAUAAAAUAUUUUUAGUUAAAAUAGGUGCAUUGCAUUGUUAGACAUAAUGCUAUUGCACACUUAAUAGACCACAGUUGUAUAAACAUAACUUCCACAUGCACUGAGAAACCAAAAUAUUUGUGUGACUCACUUUGUUGCAACAUUUGCUUUACUGUGGUGGUCUGAAACUGACCUAGCAAUGUCUCCAAGGUAUGCCUAUAUAGAACAAUAUUUAUAUUUCAGUAUUGCUUGUAUUGUCCUCAGUCAAGUUGUCAUCACUGCCAUCCUUUCUAAGAUUUCCUUUACAUCCCAGAGAGGAAAACAGAAACUUUCAAUUCCCAGAAUAUAUUUCUACAGUUUCUCUAGCUCCUAGGUAGAGCCUGCUAAUAAAAGGCCAUUAUAGUCCUGAGCAUUUUCAGAAAGAGAGCAGAUGGAAUAUGCGCUAGGUAAACUUCCUGAGCAUUACUUGAUUCUGUUUUACAGGAUGAGUCCUUCUGUGAAACCUUCUCUUCCCUUCUCUUCAAAAGCACUUCCAGCACAUGUUUCUAAUCCCUGCCUUUAAACACUAUAUACAUUCAGUGCAUUGUGUGGAUUCUGCUUUCUUGAGAAAAGACUAGUGAAAAACUAGUGAAAAUCAGAAAAGUGAGAAAAUCAGAAAAAAUAAGAAAAACAUCAAAUUAUACUAUUUUAACACAUCAUCCAUUUUGAGUUUUUGUCUUCCACUUUCUUAUUAGUCCAUAUAUCAUUUUACACAGGUGUAACCAUCGUUUUAAAUAUAGAUAUUCUAUUGAUAUCUUCAUUUGUAUGUAAUACUGAUACCGACAGGAGAUAGGGUAAUACUGGGUAGAAGAGGGCUGUUUCCUGGCAAAGUCCCCAUCCUCAAGUCUGAAGACCUGCGGCCCUAAGUGAGAACAGCAUUUUUGGCUGUGCACCCAAAAAGUUGCCUUUUGGCCUGCCAGGCCCCCCAUCCUGCUCCUAUAUAAACCGAAGACCUUAGCGGGCACAUACACAAGCGGCUGAACACCAAGAGGAACAGAAGAGAGCAGCGGUGGAGAGAGGUGCGGAGGCACUGCAGAGAAAGAGGGAAGAGGCUUCUGAACAUUGGCCAAGAACAGCCAGACCUCAGGGGAAGAUGACCUUCCCUCUCUGUCCCCUCAUCCUCCUGGAUCCCCAUGCAUCUCACUGAGACACCUCCACCACUCAAUAAAAACUUGCACUCAUCCCAAGAGCCCAUGUGUGACUCGAUUCACCCCUAGAUGCUGCCGUGGGGCAGCCGGAGCCCAAAAGUGCUCCCCAGGGCCUCUGCACCUGCCUCUCUGCAUUCUCCCCCUACGGGAUUGAGCAGCAGGUAGACCAAAGGAGCAAGCCACACCCCUGUUGCAAGUCCUUCAAGGAGGAUAAGGGAACUUUCCCGUUUCAACAUCACAUCUUAAUAAUUUUCAUCAGUUAACAUUAUUUGUAUUUAUUUUUAUUAAGGCACAAUAACCGAUUGUAUCAGAUUAUCUUCACUCUAAAGCUGAGAUUUAAAAUUAUUUGCUUAAAAUAUAGGAGUAAGAGGCUUUAUAUUUGAAAUUUUGUCUAAUUCUCCAUGGAUUUUGAGAUGGUGCCAUCACAAUACAACAUAGACAGCAUGUAGGAUAUGUCCUACUCUAGUUCCAAUCAAUAUCCUAGUGAAUUUGAAGAGUAAAGUUUAAAUAAUCUUUGUGUGUGUUUGGUUAGAGCUAUACAUAGUAUUUGCUACUUGUUUUCAGUUUACCCACCAAUAUUAGGAAAAUAAGCUUUAAAAUUAAAAUUAAGAAGGAUAUUAAGACACAAAAAAGAAUAAGAAGAAUUGAUUCCAUUUACUCUCUUGUGUCAUGGUCAUGAAAAAAUUUUAGGUAGGAAAAUAUCCUUAUUUUCACAUUUCUUGAUGAAGCCUCUUAUAUAAUUGAGAGGAUGACAAUUGAAUGAAAUCAGCCGAAGUUGAUUUCUGUUUAAAUCUCUAGAAUUUAAGUUAAAUCUUAAAGAUAAUUUAGUUGUUAUCUUUUGUCCAAUUGCUUUAGAUUUUGUUUAACUCCAAAAUGUAUAUUGUGAAAAUUCAACUUCCUUUGAAUUUGCAGUGCACUUGACGGGCCCAUGAAUCAGGUGAAUUUUAAGUAUUUUAAUUCAGUUUCCGAGGUCUUAAGAAAUCGAUCUUUUCAUGCCGUGAAUAGUACCUAAGCAUUUACAUAGUUGAUUAUUUUUAAUAUUUGAAUAUUAAAUAUUUUCUAGAUGAGGGAGGGGAAACACAAAUUAGAAUGCUCUAUGUUCUGUCUUCUGCCUCUCCUAUAAUUAACUCAAAGAGAAAGGGGAAAAAGAAAGAGAUAUUAAAAGACAGAAAAAGAGAGAGUAUCUGACCAUGGUUUUAGUUAUGCUUAUUCUGAAAUGUUCUGGUGAAUGCAUUUGAAAUAAAUCAGCUUUGUCCUUGACAUAAUGCUGUAUUUUUGUCCAGGGGUUAUUCUGCCUUUCUCCUAAAUGUCCUGCUGCCAUAUCAUGUCCUAAUUUUAUGGUAUGAAUAAAACCUUCUCUCUGGGGGUAUAAUAAGUCAAUAAUUUUCUAUUAAGUUUAUUUACAAAAAGCUUUAUUUUGUCUACACUAUUGGAAAUGGUCUGGAGACUAUCUACUCAUGAUCUCCCUGGGUAGGGAGACCUCUUUGUAGUUUUGCUAAAAAUCUUUCUUCUGGCAAUGAGUCAUGUCUUGACAAGUUGUCUAAUGUCUUAUCCAAGAGUCCUCUAGUCUUACAUGCCCUGCUCCUUUAUAUAAUGUUGGAUUGGCAUCUUUUUUUCCAAACAAGUGAAUAAUUUGUUAAUGUAUUUGUUAUGACUUAAGUCCUUGUAAGUCACGAAUAAUAAAGGUAUGCCUUUUUUGUAAGUAUUUUCAAAAUAUCGAUUUUUAAACAACCUGUUUACUUUUUGUAAGUGAUAAUAGUGGUGCCCAACUUAUUUCACUAAAGAUUUUGUCGAUCGAUUUACAUUAAUAAGCUGUAGAUUUCAGUAUGAUGUAAUAUUAUAGGUAAUAUUAGAUUUAAAGGAUUAUUAUUCCUGACAGAGUUUUAGAAAGUUUCCUGGCAUAUCCUGAUAUACAUUAUUACCUAAGUAUUUGCAUCCUGAUAUACAUUAUUACCUAAGUAUUCACAUCCUGAUAUACAUUAUUACCUAAGCAUUCACAUAAUUUACUUUUCAUUUGAAUAUUACAUAUCCCUUCAAAAUUCAUGCAUUUCUAUAUAACUUUGCUGAGAAAAUAUCAAGGACUUUAACCAGGUCUAAACACUUAUAAGUUGAUAGUACAAAGCUAGCUUGGAUGUCAGGGGUGCUUUUCUGUUUCUUGCAUGUAAUAGGCACAAACUAGGCCCAGUAACCUUUUUUGUGCCCUCCAUCAUUGUUGUUUUUUCUUUCCUCCCCAGAAUGAAACCAUUAUCUACUUCUAGUACUUAAAAGUAGUUUUUCCUCUUUUAAACAAACUACAAAUGAAUAAAAAUUAUGCUCAUUCCUGUGUUUCAUUACUUUUGCCAGUAUUAUGCUCAUGAGACUUAGAAUUGUUUUGAGGUGGAGCAGAAGUUUAUUCAUUUGCAUUGUAGACUAGUACUGUUUCACUAUAUGAAUAUAGCCAAUAUAUUUAUUCAUUUUAUUGUUAACUAGUAGUGACGGUUUCCAAUGUCUAUUAUUUAUGAAUAAUGCUGCUCUGAAUAUCUUGUCCGUACAUUUUGAAGUUCCUUUCUGUUUGAAAUAUACAUAGAAGUAAAAUUGUUGAAUUUGGAUGUAUAUAUGUUUAGUGCUAUAAGAUAUUGCCAAACAAUAUCUAAUGUGCAUAAAAAUUUUAAUUCUUAGAGGACUUAGAAAAACUGAUGUCUCAAUAUAUUUCACUGAGGUUCUAUUUUUGGAUUACUGGGAUCAUAAUCUAAGCUUGAGCAGUUUAGGGCUAAAAAUCUGCCACCCUUAUAUAUGGGUUAAAAAAUAGAAAGACUUAAUGUUAAAAAAAGGAAGAGAAUUGCACAAAUAUGAAAAGUAAAACAUGAAGCCGCCUUUUACUCUUUAUUCUCUGUCCUCCAUACUUUACCCUUUGCCAUUUUGUUACAGUUAUUCUGAUCUCCAUUUCUACUUUUAAAAUGUUAUCAUGAAAUAAUGUGAAAAAGUAAUUCCAAUAAGUUGUGAUUUACUGAUAAAUCUUAACAAUUAUCAGUAGUAUUUUAAUACAUCAAGGAGCCAUUAUAGCUGCUUAAGGUUUUAGCCAACAUCAUAAAAAUAGGUGUUAAAUUCUUUAUACUAACAUAAAGUUUGAAGAGGCGUUUUGAGAACACGAGGCCGUUUUAUGGCUGCUUUUCACUGUAGAGAGUAGGUUUUACAUUUCCCAGUGUAAACCCAGUACAAUAAUUAUUUUUAAGGAAAUGAUAUAAUUUCCUUAAUGUGAAAGCCUCUGGACUUUGAAAAUAAUGUCUGAGGAAUAAAAAUAAUAUCUGAGGAAUAUAAAUCAAUCCUAGGAUUGUUUAGCUUAAAAACAAUGAACUAAAUUAGUAGUCAUCUAAGAGAUUGUAGUUAUUUCAAAUUAGAAUUAGCUUUUAGCAGGGCAGUAGGAUCAGGAGUUGUGUUCCUGUAGACUCUGUGCCCUAUUCUUCCUUCUGCAAAGCCCUGUUAAAGUGAUAGAGUCUGUAGUCCACAGUGUGAGAAGUACUGUUUUAAAGAAAUAUAUUACAAUGGGUCUAUAUUUUGCUGUAGUGCUUAUCAUGAUCACUAGCUACCAGGUUUAAAAUUUGUAGGAGGCUUUUCUGUCUUGAGGCACUUAUUUAAAGUAACAUUUUUUUUUAUUGCUGCUCACUUAUAUAACUUUACGAAAAUUUCAAAAUAUUUAACAUUCAUGUAGCCUACCAGGAAUUGAUAGAAAGGUUAUCAAUCAUGACAAUUCCCAAUUAUCAUUUAUCAAGUGCAACAACACGCAUUGAACACAUCUGUUUUGUGAUAUAUUAAAGGAAUUAUCAUAUACAUUAUUAGGUUCCCUUAUCAAAUGUGAACUUUACUACACACUGAAUAUCAUUUCCAAGAAAGAUGGUCUUUUUAGUAUGUAUAAGCUUGAGAAAAGGCAUCAAAAUAGAUGAAUUCUUAAUCUAUGUAUGUCUGAAUUUUAUGUCCCAUUAAGAUAUAAAUUACUUUGAGCCAGCAUAUUGUGCAGACCUAUGUUAUAGAAAGAGAAAUGUUUGCAGUAUGCAGAAAGUAUAUACAAAGGUAAAAGUCUAAAUCAACAUUUCCUGUCCUCAAUAUGAUUUACACUAAAAAUUUUGUGAAUAAUAUCAUGAUAUACAAAUGUGAUAAUCCAAGAAAAAAAUUGAAAUGAAAUGUUCUCUAGUUUAGUAGUUAUUGACUAUUGAUAAUCAGCAUAAAUAUUCCAUAGGAUUUAAAAUCAGCAGAUGUGAUUUUAGUAUAAUCCAACCCUAUGGGCCCUAUUUUCCACCUUUAGACCUUCAUGACCUUAAUUAUUCUUCCACUACACUUCAAGUCCCUCAAUGCCUCCUUAAAUAUGUUAUAUAUUUUUCCCCACAUAGCAUAUUUUUUACUAACAUUGAUUAAGUUUGAUAUAUACUAGUUAUUUCAAGACAGACAAGAAUAAAAGGGCAUGCUCUUGUCAUAGGGUUACCAAAUUCAGCAGAUAAAUAUUCAAAAUCAAUAGUUACAACAGAAUGUUGGAUAAAAAUAUUUAUUUUAGAUCUGGGGAAUAUUUCUACAAAAAAUAUUUAUUGUUUACCUAAAAUUCAAAUUUACCUAGAUAUUUUGCAUUUUACACAGCAUUCUUAUUCUGUUCUCAGGAUGAUCACCAUUUGAUUAGGAAGACAGAAACACACAAAAACAACCAUAACAAAAUACACUAAUUACCAUGGUCACACUCUGGAAAAUAGUCAUGUGUUAAAUCUUGAAUGUUAACUGUUCUUCAAACGUGUUGAUGAAACGUGAUGAUGACUGGCAACUCUGUGGUAAUCCCUCUGUUGGGAGCUUGGAAACAAAGAAAAAUGUGAUUGAGUUUUCCAAUGUCACGAGUUAAUGAAUAAUUAAAAAAAAGAGUAGAAAUACAGGUGAAGUGUUUAAGGAGGAGAUCAAUCAGACAGAAUGAUGUUUUAGAGAUUUCAACACAUAGCAGGAAGUAAAACACAAAAGUAAUUCAUCCAAAAGAAGUAUAGAAUACAAAAUGUGAAUACUUGCACAGAAAACAUAAACCAGCCUGCAGUGACCUAACAGAAAGAAAGCCAGAAGAAUAAAUAUCUCAAUCUCACUUGCCCUUCCUCCCAAUUUCUCCUGGAGCUCUGCUCUGGCUAGAUCCAAGAAGAGAAGAAACAAGGGAUCCCUGCCAUGUAGACCACACAGCUCAAGUUCCCAUUUGUAUCAGAAGAACUUUACAAUGUAUCUACAGGUAAGAGAAAGGGAAUUGAAAACAACAACAACAAAAGCAACUACAACAAGGAAGACUCAUAGAGGAAGUGACGAAAAAGAUGCCACAGAAACAGAAGUUCUGCAUGCGAGAGGCAAGAGGUAACUUAAAGCAGAGAUUUAAAAACAAAGCAAAAAAAAAAAAAACCCUACACAUAUUCUAUGCUCAAAACUUAAUCUUCUUUCUUUUUCUGUCAACCCUUCAUCUUUUUUCUUUAUUUUUCAGGACUUGCUGAGCUGUUGAAUUAACACAAAAAUAAUACAUCAAUACAAUAGCUCAGUAAAGUCAAUAAAGACUUGAUGUUUAUCCCUAUCUAGGAUAAAUAGUUAUAAACACUAACAUAAGUUUUCUAGAGGCAAUUUGUUUUCUAGUAUUUUCUAAUACAUCAUUUGUUAAAACAAAAAUUCCUAAUAUGAGCUGGAUACUGUAUUCGGCCCUGGAAUACAAGAGUGAGGUUGAUGAACUCAAAGGCCACUCUCUAGGCCUUCCUUUGCUUUGUUUAAUUUUUAGAAUUUUUGCUAUCUGAAAAUAUAUUAUUGAUUUAAUUGUUAAUAUGUCUUCACUCUUAGAAUAGAAACUUUAUGAAAGUAACAAUUUUAUUUUUUAAAAUUAUUGUCAUAUUCUCAAGUCUAGAACACUACCUUGUUUAGUAUAGGGACUUAAUAAAGAUUUUUUAAUUAAAUAAAUAAAUGACAAAAUAAGCCCUUGUUAUGUACAGGCUAAUGGAGCUUUUUAGAGAAUCUAAUGUGGUAUGCCACAAAAUGAUGUGGUAAAUGCCAUGACACAGAAAAUGCAGACAGCUUUGCUUCACACAGUAGUUCUUCCUGUUUUAAACACAGAGAGGUAACAGCCUUUUUGGAAGAAUUAUAAUCCCAUAGAAAUGAAUCCAUAUUUGAUUCUCAUAAACUAAAACACUCAGUGAGAGAUAUGGUUGGAAGGAGAGAGAAACUGUCACUUUUCAAAUCAUAUGAGAGGCAUCAGUGGGACCAGUAGGGUUAAAUUUAUUACCAUGCACAAUAUCGAUUGGAUUAUCAAGUAUAUGCUACACAUAAUAUAGUUAGAAACUAUAAAUAUAUAUAUAUAUUUAAUCAAGAUUUAUUAUAUUUUUGGAAUAAUCUAAUUGGUCUUACAUAUUUUAUAUUGACGUUUCCUUUUUUGUUAUUUUGCUGAACAAAUUCAUAUGUAAAAAUUUUAACACAGUAGAUCUAAAGCAUACUGUCCCAAUUCUUGCUAGACAAGCUACAUAUAUAAGUAAUGAUAUAGGUUAAUAUGACUCCUCAGACACUGAAAUUAAUUUGAAAAUAAGACGUAACCAUUGUUUUCAAUUUACUUCCACCCCAAUUUUUUUAACAAUUAGAUAUUAAAAGGAUCCUGCUUCUUACAAAUAUCCAAUACCCACUAUGACAAGAAAGAGAAUUAUCUCAUUUGUAUCAUCACUCUGUAGAUCCAAUUGAUAAAUAAAUGGGUCAUUUAAUGGAGGAAGAACAAUAAAUACAAUAAAUGUAGUAAAAAUACUAAAAUUAACUUCUAAAAAUUUAGUGUUGUGCAAACCUGUAGAAUAAAAUGUAGGUGAAUAUCUUUUUAAUCUUGAGGUAAAAAGAGUUUUUAUUCUGUGUACAGAAAACCCUAACUUUAAGAGGAAAAUGCAGCAUUAAAUUAAGUAUUUACACUUAUCCAGAAAUACCUUAAUAAAAAUAAAAUGUGAGCUAUAUUCUGGAAAAAGAUUGUUGCAAUACUUUUAAUCAGCAAAAAGUUUAGUUUCCAGAAUUAGAAGAAAAUAGUUUCUAAACAUCAAGAAAGGUAUAAGAUAUAAAAAAAUAGAAAAAUGCACAACCGAUUUAAAUAGGCAUUUCAUUAAAGAGAGAUAGAAAAAUGAAAAAAGAAACAAAUAUAGUACUUGACAAAAAUUCUCCGAGAAACACGUGUGUCUAUCUUUUGAAAUUCAGCAGUUAUGUACCACAUUUAAUAAUGUCAUUCUGAACAUAAACUCUAGAUUUUUUUUAUGCAUAUUCCCUAAAUAACUUGUACACAGGUGUUUUUAAAAUUUGACAAUAGUGCUCCAAGUAGAAACAAAAAAGUACAUGCAACAAAAUGGAAAAAUCUUUGUAAAUAAAAAUUAGUGAAAAAAGUCAACUGUCAAUAGAGUAUGAUAUCAUUUGUAAAAUCAUCAAAAUCAAGCAAAGGAAAACCAUAUAUUGUUUAUACAUAUAUAGCAUAUAUGUGAUAAAGCUGUUCAAAAUUCAGAUAAGGAUGAACUUUGGAUGGAGAGAGCAUAGAAGGCACAGAUUUUUAGACAGAUGUUAUUUUUUUGAUGAUGUUCUACUUCUUAUGCUGAGUCCUGGGUUCACAGGUAUUCAUUUCAUAUUCUAUAAUUAUAAUAAAGGUAGCAUCUAUGCUUUUGUUUGUAUCAAACUUCCCAUGCUAUUUUAAGAUCACAUUUUGUUAGUCAAGGUCCCAGAAGAAAGGAUUGACACAGUUAAUACAAUUUUGGAGACAGUUUAAUAAAAGUAAUAUCUACAAGAUUUGGGUAAUUUGAAAACCCUAAGCUCACAAUGCAGUUCCUAAAGUUAGUAAUAUUCUGGAACCAUUCCUAGACCUAAAGGUGUGAAGAGGGCAAGUAACAAUCACAUCUAUGGAACAGGGAAAACUAUGAGGAUAUGAAGGUUUAUGUGAAGAGUAGUAUUUGACAGAAGGUGAAAACGUGCAUGGAAAAUAUAAACCAGCCUUCAGUUAUCUCACAGGAAGAAAGCCAGAAGAAUAAAUAUUUCAAUCUCACUUGUCCUUCCUCCCAAUUUCUCCUGGAGCUCUGCACUAGCUAGAUCCAAGAAGAGAAGAAACAAGGGAUCCUUGCCAUGUAGGCCACACAGCUCAAGCUCCCAGAAAAGAGAACAAGGUGAAGUGUGGAGUACAUCCUUGCAGGAGCGAGUGGAAUAUUUCCAGCAUGUCUGGCAAUUUCAUAUAGUCAAAGCUCGCUGAAUAACUAUUGAUAUUCAAAACUUCCUUUUCAAAACUCAUUUUGCCUCUUCAGAAUGUAAUGUGUUUUGCAAAAGUUGCCAUAAUUCAACAGAAUAUAGAAUUAUAGCCAAUGUGGAAAGUGUUUAGGAAUAUAAGCUAAGACUUGGAAGAGUUCCUGAUUUCUAGAUCUUUAAUUUUUGUCUAUUAAGUUUCUAUGUCUUUCCCUAAAUUAAGAGGUGGCUCUAAGCAAGAAUGAAAAUGAACUAACUAUAGAUUAAAACUGUCCUAUUUAAUUAAAAAGAAAGUCACUUUUUCUAAAAUAGAAAAACUUUAUUGGUUUUUAUAAGGUAAAUUUAAAUUAGUCUUGCCCCAUGGCAGUCUAGAAAAAUUAGAUGUCUCAUUUAUCUUCAUAAAGACCGAACACUUUCAACAGAGCAACCAUUAUUUGCACAGAAAAUAAAGCUAUUAUUUUAUAACUAUGCUCCAGUAGUUGCCAAACAUCUUUAAAGUGACCUUACAAUUAAAUUGUUAUCUUUUUUAUGAACUUUCACAAUACACCCUUUGAUGUGAGCGUUGGACUGUUUCUUAGACGUGUUAUUUCUAUUUCCUUACAAUCUGCUUAGUAAAGAAGAGCACAUAGGGUUAAAUGAGGAAAAUACAGUUGUGAGAAUUCAAAAUUUGUUCUUUUAGUGUGAUUCUGCCUUUAUGCAGCUUGUUUGACUUACCUGGUGCUCACGUCAUCUUUAAAAGGAGGAAUUUGGACUAAGAUUCCUUUGAAUCCUAGGUUGCUAAACUGUUCUAACAACCAUACUGGUUUAAGUGUUUAACAGGACUCAGACUGACCUUGGCCCUAUUUUCUUUUAUUUUCUUCUUCUUUUUUUAAAACUAAAUAUUGCUUUAAAUUCUUUCAGUCAACAUUUUUUUAGAACCACAAACUAAGCAACUAUAAAUUAUAUUUAGUUAUUUACAGAAUGCAGGUUACGCCAUUAUUAGGAAUACAUGCAUUUGUGAGUCACUCAUAUUUGCUAUCAAAUUGCUAAUAUGAUAUAUAUAUAAAUAGUAUGAUUUAUAUCUCCUGUGCAUUUGUUACAUGUGUGUAUGUUCAGUAAAAUGUAAAAAUUUAUUUAAAAAUAUCAAUUUAUUGUGUUCAUAAAUUGAAAGACUCAAAUAGUACAUAUAUAUUAGAGUAACAGGAGAACUGCUGACAAUUCCAUGUGCUGACAAGAAUGUAGAGCAACAGAAACUCUCAUGCAUUACUGCUGAAAAUGCAAAAUGUUAUAGCCACUCUGGAAAAUAGUUUGGUAUUUCUUAUAAAUUAAAACAUAAAUGCACCAAAUGAUGCAGCAAUUUUACUUGUAGAUAUUUACUCUAAAGAAACGAAACCUUAUAUUCUCAAAGAAAAUGUGGCACAUAUACACCAUGGAAUAUUAUGCAGCCAUAAAAAGAAUGAGUUCUUGUCCUUUGCAGGGACAUGGAUGAAGCUGGAAACCAUCAUCCUCAGCAAACUAACACAGGAACAGAAAACCAAACACCGCAUGUUCUCACUCAUAAGUGGGAGUUAAACAGUGAGAACACAUGGACACAGGGAGGGGAACAUCGAGGGGUGGGGGAUAAGGGGAGGCAGAGCAGUAAGACAAAUACCUAAUACAUGUGGGGUUUAAAACCUAGAUGACUGGUUGAUAGGUGCAGCAAACCACCAUGGCACAUGUGUACCUAUGUAAAAAACAUGCACGUUCUGCACAUGUAUUUCAGAACUUAAAAAAAAAGAAAGAAAAAACAAAGAAAGCAUUUAUAUGGUGACUUUCUUCAUAAUUGCUCAAAACAGGAAACAAAACAAAUGUCCUUUAAUGGAAAAACAAAUGGUGAAGCAUCUGUAUAAUGAAAUUCAAUACAGCUAAAAUUAACUGAAAAGUUGGAUGACUCUCCAAAGCUGUAUAAUGAGCAAAGCAAGCCAGUCUAAAAAGGUCAUAUACAUUGUGAUUUCAUUUUUAUGACAUUUUCCAAACGACAAAGCUGUAGUGAUGGAGAAUUCAUUAUUGGUUGCCAGUAAGAGGAAGAUGUGGAUGCAAGGGAUAGCAAGAGUGAGUUAUUUUGGAUGAAGGAACAGUUUUGCAUUAUGAUUGUAAUAGUGGUUUACUAAAUCACUCCCUUCAUGAGGGGUGGGGAUUCCUAAGUCACUCCCCUCCAUGAGGGGCGGGGUUCUCAUAGAAAAUCUCUGAUAGGGCAGUGCAGAAGGGAAACGUGGGGUCUGAGCCCCCACACAAAGUCUCUACUAGGGCACUGCAUAGUAGGGCUAUGAGAAGAGGGCCACCGUCCUACAGACCCCAGAAUGGUAGAUCCAGUGACAGCUUGCACGGUGUGCCUGGAAAAGCUGCAGACACUCAACACCACCCCGUGAAAGCAGCCGGGAGAGAGGCUGUACCCUGCAAAGCCACAGGGGUGGAGCUGCCCAAAAUACUGGAACCCACGUCUUACAUCAGCGUGACCUGGAUGUGAGACCUGGAAUCAAAGGAGAUCAUUUUAGAGCUUUAAGAUUUGACUGUCUCAAUGGAUUUUGGACUUGUGAGGACUGUAACCCCUUUGUUUUGGCCAAUUUCUCCCAUUUGGAAUGGCUGUAUUUACCCAAUGCCUGGACCCCCACUGUAUCUAGGAAAUAACUAACCUGCUUUUGAUUUUACAGACACAUAGGUGGAAGGGACUUGGCUUGUCUCAGAUGAGACUUUGGAUUGUGGACUUUUGAGUUAAUGCUGAAUUAAGACUUUGGGGGACUGUGGGGAAAGCAUAAGGUUUUGAAAUGUGAGGAUGUGAGGUUUGGGAGGGGCCAGGGACAGAAUGAUAUCAUUUGGCUGUGUCCCCACCCCAAUCUCAUCUUGAAUUACCACAUGUUGUGGGAGGGACCAAAUGGGAUGUAAUUUAAUCAUGGGGACAAGUCUCUCCCAUUCUGUUCUCAUGACAGUGAAUAAGUCUCACAAGAUCUGAUGGUUUUAAAAAGAGGAAAUCACCUGCACAAGCUCCUCUCUUUGCCUGCCUCCAUCCACAUAAGGUGUGACUUGCUUCUCCUUGCCUUCUGCCAUUAUUGUGAAGCUUCCCCAGCCACGUGGAACUCUACUUCAUUUCCACCUUUUGUGUCCUUCAAACUUCCAAGGGACAGCUCCUCUAUUCAAAGGUGCUUUGUUCCUGAAGUCAGGAAGCACCUUGCAAGUAAAGGAUGAAUUUUAAAGAUUUUUUGAUUUUGGACAAUAUCCCUGGCCACCCAGAACCUCCUGAGUUCAACAUUACAGGUUCUCGCGGGCUGGAGUGAAGUGGCACAAUCAUAUCUCACUACAGCCUCAAACUCCUGGGCUCAGUUGAUCUUCCUGAGUUGCCUCCCGAGUUGCUGGUACUACUGGUGCAUGCCACCACACCUGGAUAAUUUAUUUUUUAAUCUUUUGUGGAGACUAUAUCUUACUCUGUUGCCCAGGCUGGAGUGCAGUGGCACAAUCAUGGCCUACUGCAAACUUGAACUUCUGGGCUCCAGUGAUCCUCCUGCCUCAGCCUCCUGAAUAGUUGGGACUAUAGGCAAGCAUCACCAUACCCAGUUGAUUUCCUCUUACUUUUUGUGAAUACAGGCUCUCACUAUUCUGGACAGGCCAGUCUCAAACUCCUGGGCUCAAGCAAUCCUCCCACUUUGGCCUCUCAGAUUGUUGGGAUUACAAGCGUAAGCCUCUGCACCUAGCCUGCAUUCUCACUUUUUAAAAAACAAGAGAGUAUCUACUUCCACAUUAAAUUACAUAGUGUAGAUUAUAAAUCUUUUUGAUCUUCAUACUGACAAAUGAAGAAAUAAAAUCUCAAAAUUUUGAUAUGCAUGUUUAUAAAUUAUGCUCUGCAUCCUUCUAUCUGAGAACUACUUGAAUUUACUUUUCUCUGCACUGUGGAACCAUAUCCUUUCUAUGUUUUUAAGUAGUUUGUUGUUAUUUUUAUAAUAUCGCAGUCCCUUAACUCUGGUAAAUUUUACAAAUACCCCUAAUAUUCCUCAUGUUUUUACUUAAAUUUCAGCUUUAUUUAUAAAAUAAAAUUUUGCCUGAGAGAAAGUAUUAAGUUUUGUGCUUCAAUUUAUGGUUUCUGGGCAGAAAAGAGUCUUCAUAUCUAGAAACAAUAUACUAUUCAUACAGAACAUAACUACAUGUAAAUUUGUAUAAGCACACAGCUUCAUGUCUUCUUUUGUACUUUUUUGACUUCCAAUUUUUACAUUUUAAAUACUUAAUUUAACAGGAAUGUUGGUAUAAAGCAGAAAUAUUUUUCCU
rnacentral:lncRNA from 10 species